rnacentral:lncRNA from 1 species
AGAGAAACCAAACUUCUCCGCCCAUAAUAAUGUUCACCUAAAAUACAAUGCUUUAUCUUCAAAAAUAAAUACCCAUAACUCAAAACAAUUUCGUUUGUCCACACUCCACACACAAACAAACAUUUCGAAGCAGUCCAUUUUCUUUUUCAUUUUUCACACACACUUUUCGUACAUAUAGCUAAAAUAAACAUCUUACAUAUACCAUAACUCAUAAUUCAUCCUUAAAUCACAAGUUUUCAUUUCAUCAAACAAUUUUCAGCAGCUUUUCUCAUGGAGAUUUUCUGGUUUUUCAAAAUUUUCUUGACUUUCACCUUCUUUUUCUUGAUGGGAGAUCCAUUUUUCUCUCAUUCAUCUUCUUUGCCCGAGGGAAUCGCGAAGUCUGCAGCUGUACACCGCAAUUACACCGCCAUAUCAGAGUUUCGAGUACUCAACAGAAAACCUUUGAAGGAUUGCCCCGACCUGAACCCGUAUUUGCAAAUAAACACAAGCUCCAUUGCCAAGCUUUCUGAUGAUGGAUAUAUAACAGUAAAUGUUACAGGAGUUUUACUUCCUUCGGCUACUGAUUGGGUCGCAAUGAUUUCCCCAUCUCAUGCCGUGUAAGAUGAUUAUUUUCGUAUCUAAAUAAUCUGAUUCUACGCUUGAAAAAACGGUAAAUUUAAUCUGAUCUUGCAGUGUAACAGCCUGUUUAGAAAACUCAAUUCUUUAUAAGGAGACAGGAGAUUUUAGUAGUCUUCCUCUUCUCUGCCAUUAUCCUGUUAAGGUAAGUGCAUUCUACUUUUGCAAAACGUUUGAAGGAUUAUAAUAAUCACAGUUUAAUUAGCCUUGAGAUUAUUUUAUAUUUUACUGCGCGCAGCCAUUCUUUUAAUUUAUUUCUUGACAUGCCUGGUUCAUAAUGAUCAGAAAUCUGUUUAAGUAUCAAAUAAUUCAGAAACUGAGAGUUUCUUGAAAAAUUUGUCCUUGAUCCGAUAUUUACUCGACAUAGUAACAACAACAAUAACAAACUAAUGUCGAUCGACUUGGGUUAUUGCUAAAAUUUGCAGGCUCAAUAUUUAAGAAGUGAUCCAGAUUACUUAAGUUGCAAGAAGAAGGAAUGCAAGAAAAAAGUGAAUGGAAAAUGCGUGUUGAGAACAUGUAGUGCGUCUUUGUCAUUUCAUGUCAUUAAUAUUCGAACUGAUAUCGAAUUUGUGCUGUUUGCUGGUGGAUUUGUUGCGCCUUGCAUUUUGAGAAGAUCACAGCCACUCAGAUUUGCCAAUCCAAACAAGCCUUUAUAUGGACAUAUAUCGAGUACCGAUUCAACAGCAAAAUCGGUAUGGAAUGCCAUCUCUGAUCUCCAAUAUCCAUGCAUGUGGUUGAGAAUUAAUUAUUUUAUUUUUAUUUACAACAUUUUAGAGGAAAUAGUUCGACGAUUUUUUAUUUAUUUAUUUUUGAUAAUAUGUUAUUAAAAAGCGGAAGUUAUGAAUUUCAUAAAAUGUGUGUGACUGAAAAUUAUUUGAACGAAAAAAGUUUAAGAAAAAGUUGUAUCAAACAUGCCUUUAUUUAACCCCUAUUUGGUAUAGCUAAAAAUUAAUUUUUUGUAAAUUUUAAUAAAAGUUGAUGAAAUGUAUUGAAAAGUUUGAAUCCCUUAAAUUAUUUAAUUAAAAUAAAAUUUUAAUUUUCACCAUAAUUUUUCAAUUCCUUACUCCUGUAAGAAAUGGCACAAGGCUUUGUUGACUUUGCUAUCAUUAAUUGCCUUGUCCGCCCGGCAAGAUUAUCGUUCACAAGCAUCUGCAAUUUCCUCUUUUUAAUAAAUUAAACAGCUGUGAUGGGAUGGCAACAUAUUUACCUUCUUUAUGGGAUUAAAAUCAAAAUUUAUUGAUAAAAAUUAAUAAAAUGUAUGAUUGAAAAGUUGUGAAUCCUAUAAAAUAUAUUAUUAAAUCUAAUUAUUAAUUAUAAUUAUAAUUAUAAUUUUAAAUCCUAAUGAAUGGGGACUUAAAGAUCUACCACCAACUUAACUGAGCAAUUACUGUUGUGCAGAACAAAUAUUGAAUAUUCUCACCUUUUACUGAAUUAAGUAAUUAAUUCAGUGUACUCGUGGGAUUAAAAAGUCAGCAGCAGUUGACUGCAAAAUUUUGAGGUGUGAAAGAAGAAAAAACGUAGCAGUGCUUUCAAACGUAGGGCCACAUAAUAUUAGUGCAUGGGAAGUGAUAAAUAAUUAUAUAUUUAAUUAGGUAUAUUUUUUAUGCUGAUGAGAUUAGACAUUAUAAAGAAUAGAUUUUGUAAUGUUUUUUCCCAAAGUUUGAUGCAUUAUAAUUUUGACGUGUCAAAAUUUUAGUGAGACGCAUUUUUGCCUUUAAAAAAAACAACGAAAGAGACAACAAGAUAGAGCAACAAAUGUAGACUCGUCGUGAACGCAUUAACACCUGUAUUUGAUAUGAAUAUAUUUGGUAAGAUUUGAUAUGAAUAUAUGGAGAAUAUAAUGGAUUUUUCAAAAUUGUGAUAAUUGCAGAUGAGAGUAACAUGGGUGAGUGGAAACCAACAGCCUCAACAUGUUCAAUUUGGAAAUGGGAAAUCAGUUACCUCACUUGUUUCUACUUUUUCACAAAGUGAUAUGUGCAACAGUAAGUUUCUUAUUCUCCUCGUGCUUUUGCUUAAAGUAGCUUAAAACCGUAUAUCUUUGAGACUUUUAUAAACAACCAAAUGACUUGAUUGAACAUCGUUUUGUCUACCCAUUUGAGAAGACUAAUGUUAUUCGGCACAACUAAUGUUAUAGUUUUUUCCAUGAAUUCUCGAAGGGAUUGGCAUCUUCAAUCUAGAUUAAUGUUUUAUUCUAAAAUAUUGUUUCCUUUUUAUCGAAAAUAAGCUUCCUACUUACAAAGUCCUGCCAAGGAUUUUGGGUGGCAUGACCCUGGCUACAUUCAUUCAGCUGUAAUGACAGGACUCAACCCUUCAACCAAGUACCUCUACAGAUAUGGAAGGUAAAUUUUUGUUUCCAAGUGAAAAAUAAGAAGAGGGAAAAAGAAAGCCGAAAACAUUCUGCAGUAGGAAAAUAUUUUUAAUUUCGACUGGUAAAAAAUCGAAAAACUUAUUGCAUAUACUCAGACUUACAUGUAUUAUACAUAAUUUGAACAUAUAAUACAGUGAUUCAAGUGGAUGGAGUAAUUGGACAACAUUCAAAACACCGCCUGCUGGUGGAUCAGAUGAGCUUAAAUUUCUUGCAUUUGGUGACAUGGGCAAGGCUUCUCGUGAUGCUUCUACUGAACACUAUAUACAGGUAAUAUAUAAGUGUGGAUAUGUCUGUUACAGAAAAUAUGAAUACAAUGCAAUUAUGGCUAAAAAGGGCCUUAUUUUUGGGGAUAAAUAUAGCCAGGAUCACUAUCAGUCAUCGAAGCUAUGGCCGACGAACUAUCCUCCAGUGGAGUCGACGCAAUAUAUCAUAUUGGAGACAUAAGCUAUGCCACAGGUUUUCUAGUAGAAUGGGACUUUUUCCUUCACCAAAUUAAUCCAGUGGCCUCUAAAGUUUCUUACAUGACUGCAAUUGGGAAUCAUGAGAGGUAUGCUGUUCGGUUCAAAAUUGUGUAACUGUCACAUAUUUAAUGAGAAAAUGGUUCGACGCUGUUUAAGCUUUUAGACAAACUGAUAAAAAUUCGAGGUAUUAUCUUUCAGGGAUUUUGGAGACUCCGGAUCGGUUUAUUUUACUCCGGACUCUGGUGGUGAGUGUGGGGUACCUUAUGAGACAUAUUUUCCAAUGCCAGCAGUUGCAAAGGAUAAGCCAUGGUAUUCUAUAGAACAAGGGAGUGUUCACUUUACAGUAAUUUCAACAGAGCAUAAUUGGACACAAAACUCAGAACAGGUACAUAAAUAACCUUCUUUUACACUGUUUUGUGCCUCGUUUAGCAUAGUAGGUAAUGUAAUACUAGAAAGUAGAGUAAUGUCUAAUAAGUUUAUGUUGUCUAAUACCAGGUGUAUGUUUGAUAUUGAUUUUUCUCCUCAAAACAUUCAUUUUUUGACCAUUAUUUCACUAUUUCAGCCGUCAUUUUUGACUUCUUCUCUCACAAAUUAGACACAUUUUUCUCUCUAACAGUCAAAAAAUCAAUUUUCAAAAUCACUAUCGAACAAGCCCCAGCAACAAAACUUAGCCUUACAUCUUUUCCGUCUCAUGGAACAAAAUAAUAAUUGUUGCACUUAACUUCAUUGUGUCCUUGCACAGUAUGAAUGGAUGAAGAAGGACAUGGCUUCAGUUGAUCGAUCAAGAACUCCAUGGUUAAUAUUCACGGGGUAAUUUUAUAUUUUCAAGGCCACGGCCAAUAUCUUUUUAUUGCAUUUCGAUUAGCCAACUUUUAACUAAAACUCUGCUUGUCUUCUUUCAUGAGUAGGCUAGAUGUUUAAUCAACAAUAAACUAAAUGUUUUGCGUUUUUCCUAAACAAAUUUGGAUCAGUAACAAAUUAUCAUGAAUGAAAAUUCUUGUCAGUGACCACCGACAGUAGGUCGAUAUGUGAUUUAGAUGGAAUUAUCGACAAUGAUGUUGUUGGUGAUUGUUAAUAUAUUGUCAUUAGUGAUUGUCAAUGGACCGCUUAAUUCUUGAGUCGACUCUGAUUUAAAAGAUGCACGAAUAUGUUUUUUUUACUGCUCCGUUCAUUUCAUUGCCACAUUACUUAAAUCCAAUGCCAGUAACAGAAACAUGUACAAAUAAUCAAUUCAUUAAUUUUACAUGUCAAUAAAAUUAAUGAAUAUUGCGAAUUGACUACAGGCACAGGCCCAUGUAUUCCUCCAACGACGGAAACAUUAUUUUGCCAAGCGUCGACGACAAAUUCGUCCAAGCCGUGGAGCCAUUGCUACUAGCCAAUAAGGUAAAAGUUUCCAUCGAGAACACAAAUUUUAGUAAGUACUGGCUUCGUGAUUAAUUGUACUCACUAACAUAUAAAUGGAUCUACAGGUUGAUCUUGUUCUAUUUGGACACGUUCACAACUACGAAAGAACAUGUGCCGUUUAUAAGCAACAAUGCAAGGCAAUGCCAAAGAAAGAAAGAAAUGGAAUUGAUACAUAUGAUAAUACAAAGUAUAGUGCACCAGUUCAUGCUGUUAUUGGAAUGGCUGGCUUUAGCUUGGAUAAGUUCUCCAACAAGGUAAGUAGUUACAACCUCAAGCCCUCAUAGAGACUCGUCCCCCCACUCUCAUCGUCGUCUCAAGUAUCAAACUUGGAUCCCCUGUCAAUUUUUCUUGACCUUUGGGUUUCAAAUUCAAUUUUGUAGCUUGAGAUUUCUCUAUACGAUUUAUUAAAGAUGAUCUUAAAAGAAAUCCAUGUCUUGGGACACAAAUUCUACCGGACGUUAACUCAAAAAGAAAAAAAUGUCAAGAAAGAUAUACAAAUACUCGAGCCUACAAUGAGAAUCACAGUUGCAAUUUUUCAUGGAAAAUAGUAACACAUACUAGAAUCAUGGGGACGUUUUUUUGUUCGUGAUGGACAGGGGAAGCCAUGGAGUUUGGUUAGGAUUUCCGAGUUUGGAUACACAAGAGUGCAUGCAACAAAGAAAGAGCUAAAAGUUGAGGUCAGUUCAUGAAUCUUUAUCUGCUUUAAUUUUAAAAUUGGGUGAUGCAAUAAGAACAUCAAAUUGAGUUAAUUUCUUGACAUGUUUAUAUCAUUUUGCAGUAUGUAAAUUCAAAUACAAGAAACGUUGAAGAUAGCUUCCGAAUCAUCAAAAGUUGAAAAAUGAAAAAUAUAUAGGCAGGGAGAUUUGCUUUAUAAAUAUAUUGUAAUGAAAGAACAUUGGAAAUCUUUUAAGAGCACUUGUAUUUUCUAAAUAGCUUCUCUGAUUUUUAUUUUUGAAUCUAAACUGUCUUGGUCAGUUGAUUUCAUCCCAGUUUUUGAAGAACUGUUUUUAGACUAUGACCAAACCAGUUCCCAAGCUGACAUUUUUUCCAGUCAAACUCACCAGAUCAGGCUGAUUUUUAAAACAUUGGUAAAUGUACUAUGAAUAGGAGAAAGUAAUGGACAUGAUCUUAAGAAUUCUACUCUUAAGAACAUAAAAAUGCUUGCUCUAACCAGGGCCGGUCCUGGGCUGAGGCGAGUGAGGCCCGCGCCUCAGGCCCAGGACCAUAGGGGGCCUCCUGUUGGUCCAAUUAAUUUUUUUUUUUUUUUUUUUGUAAUAAAGAAACGAGGCCAGUUUAAACUGAAAAGCGAGAUUAUAUACAGCCCCAAGCCCUAACUCAAAAUACCUUCAAAGUUCAACCGCUGGGAUCUUCAAUCUUGGCUUCUCGUUCACUUGGCGAGCGUUAAAUAUAGCAGCAAUUUUGCAUUUACACGUUUUCAGACUACUACUCCAAAAAAGAGGAUUUUAGAGAGAGAUUAAUUUUCGGUUUCCGAUUCUCAUUACCGCCGAAUCGCCGAAUGCCGAUCAACGAACGCCCACCAAUUUCUUCAUCAGCUCCA